rnacentral:rRNA from 1 species
UAGCUAGUUGGUGAGGUAAAGGCUUACCAAGGCGACGAUCUGUAGCGGGUCUGAGAGGAUGAUCCGCCACACUGGAACUGAGACACGGUCCAGACUCCUACGGGAGGCAGCAGUGGGGAAUUUUGGACAAUGGGGGCAACCCUGAUCCAGCCAUGCCGCGUGAGUGAAGAAGGCCUUCGGGUUGUAAAGCUCUUUCGGCCGGGAAGAAAUCGCAUGGGCCAAUACCCUGUGUGGAUGACGGUACCGGAAUAAGAAGCACCGGCUAACUACGUGCCAGCAGCCGCGGUAAUACGUAGGGUGCGAGCGUUAAUCGGAAUUACUGGGCGUAAAGCGUGCGCAGGCGUUUUGUAAGACAGGCGUGAAAUCCCCGGGCUUAACCUGGGAACUGCGUUUGUGACUGCAAGGCUAGAGUACGGCAGAGGGGGGUGGAAUUCCAUGUGUAGCAGUGAAAUGCGUAGAGAUGUGGAGGAACACCAAUGGCGAAGGCAGCCCCCUGGGUCGAUACUGACGCUCAUGCACGAAAGCGUGGGUAGCAAACAGGAUUAGAUACCCUGGUAGUCCACGCCCUAAACUAUGUCAACUAGGUGUUGGGUGGGUAACACCAUUUAGUACCGUAGCUAACGCGUGAAGUUGACCGCCUGGGGAGUACGGCCGCAAGGUUAAAACUCAAAGGAAUUGACGGGGACCCGCACAAGCGGUGGAUGAUGUGGAUUAAUUCGAUGCAACGCGAAAAACCUUACCUACCCUUGACAUGCCAGGAACUUGCCAGAGAUGGCUUGGUGCCCGAAAGGGAGCCUGGACACAGGUGCUGCAUGGCUGUCGUCAGCUCGUGUCGUGAGAUGUUGGGUUAAGUCCCGCAACGAGCGCAACCCUUGUCGUUAAUUGCCAUCAUUUAGUUGGGCACUUUAACGAGACUGCCGGUGAUAAACCGGAGGAAGGUGGGGAUGACGUCAAGUCCUCAUGGCCCUUAUGGGUAGGGCUUCACACGUCAUACAAUGGUCGGUACAAAGGGUUGCCAAGCCGCGAGGCGGAGCCAAUCCCAGAAAGCCGAUCGUAGUCCGGAUUGCAGGCUGCAACUCGCCUGCAUGAAGUCGGAAUCGCUAGUAAUCGUGGAUCAGCAUGUCACGGUGAAUACGUUCCCGGGUCUUGUACACACCGCCCGUCACACCAUGGGAGCGGGUUCCGCCAGAAGUAGGUAGCCUAACCGCAAGGGGGGCGCUUACCACGGCGGGGUUCGUGACUGGGGUGAAGUCGUAACAAGGUAGCCGUAGGGGAACCUGCGGCUG